UGUUCUGCCUUCUCUGAUCCCUUUCAAAGACGCAUCUUGACAGAGGCAGUUGUCCUGAAGAGAAAGAAUACCAAGUUAAUCAAAAUGGGAACUGAAGGCCGAAGGAUAUAUGUUGGUGGAUUACCAUACAAGGCUGAUGAGCGAGACCUUAGAGAUUUGUGUAAUAAAUAUGGAAGAAUUGAAGAUGCAUUCAUUGUGUUGGACAAGUAUUCAGAUCACAGAAGAUCCAAGGGCUACGGAUUUGUCACUUUUGAAGACAAAGCUGAUGCACGGGACUGCAUUGAUGCAUUAGAUGGCACUGAUUACGAUGGCAGAAGACUCACUGUUCAAGAGGCAAGGCCAAAUAAUAACAGCAGGGGUGGUGGUGGUGGUGGAAGAAGAGACUAUGGAGGAGGAAGGAGAGAUGGUGGUAGCUACAGAGGAGGUAGUCGUGGAGGAGAUCGUGAAGAUUACGGGGGUCGUGAUCGAGGGUAUGGAGGAGGUGGUGGUGGAGGUGGAGGAGGAGGACGAAGCAGAAGGGACAGCUAUGGUGACAGGGAUCGCUACUAAGAUAAAAAUCAUGGUUUGCAAGUGAAAACACAUAAAAGCAACUGCAUUAGGGGACAAGUGGACUGCUAACACUGGGCAGACAUGGACGUUUUCAUCAGAUUUGCCAUCGUCUUGGUCCUUAUACACGUGCAACUUGGUCACUCGUCGCCAAGAAAGCCUUGUGACGCUGCACCUGAUUACUCAAGCUGUUUGCUCAAGUCAUCUUGCAAUCCUACGGACACUAACCCUUGCGGGUGUCCGCAUGCUUGCUGUGCUCCGGACACUGGAGUUGACGAGAACUAUGACGGAAGUCCCAAAGACGACCCGCUACCAUUCCUAUAUGGAUACAGAUGCUAUAAAAAGCCUCGUUGUGGCGAAGUGUGCUUCAGGGAUGCACUUUGCCCCUGCGAAGGUGGUCGUCUUUGCCUGAAGAGUCCCACGGAGCGAAAAACGCGAAGAUGCGUGUGACGAUAUUGCACAUCUGGUUCUAUGUUACCGAAGAGAUCUGAAACUUUCCAAAGUUAAUUUUAGCAAGAUUGAACAUGCAGUAACCGAAUCCUUGUAAAUCAUAUUGAAUGUAGAUAGAUUCAAAUAUUGUAAUUAAAGGCCAGCUUUUUAUGCCAAAGUUUCAGUAAUAAUGAUUUAAUAGA